CUAGUGCUAGAAAAGUUUGAAUGGAGAAACUAUCAGAAAAAUACUUACACUGGGACACUAACUUGCCAAAUGAAGACCCAAAAAAACCCUAAACUCCUGCAACAGUAAGGUCCAGACAUCUUAGCUGCAACUGUCAAAAAUGGAGUGGAAGCAGAAGAUGAAGCACCAAGGAAUGAUAUUGGUUUAGACUCAACACUGUGAAACAAUAGGGAAAAUAUUGAGAAAGAGAAAGAAAAGCAUAAAGAAAAUCCUGCCUGCAAAGGGAACAGAGAAAAGCACCAAAACUCACAGAAGUUGCUCACCGAGCUGCCAAACUUGACCUCAGAUUGUUCAUGCUACAAGCUGGAGGGAAAGCUUUCAGGAAAUGAUACUUAAACCUGAUUCCUGUACACAGCACUGUGCCCAACAGCCCGGUGCUCAGCUUCCAUGAGCUCCCAGGUUCCCACCAACUGUGGCACCGACACAAAACCUGGGGAGAUAGAGGUUCAGGUUGGAUAUUAGGAAGAAAUUCUUCUCAGAGUGGUCAGGCACUGGCACAGGCUGCCCAUGGAGGUGGUGGAGUUGCUGUUCCCGGAGGUGUUAAAAAAAAAUGGUAGAUACUGCAGUGAGGGACGUGGUCUAGAGCAGUCACAGGCAUGGAUUGUUGGUUGGACUGGAUGAUCUUAGUGUUCUUCUCAGCCUUAGUGAUUCUAUGAUUUGAAGAUGAGGGGAUAAAAAUCAUACCAACCAUUGUGAAAGUCCAGCUCUUGCUGCUAAUGGUCUCAGUACUGAAGAGUAGGAAAACCACAAAGAAAAAAAACAACAUCCCAUGUAUAUACAUAGUUAAUGCAGACAAAAGAUGCAUCUGUGAUCUGUAAUGACCCAAACCACUUCAGAGGUUGGUCCCAGAAGGGGAAGACACCAAGUCAAUGGGAAAAAUGCAGUUUAGUUUGUGGGAUUUGGGUUCUCAUGCUGGGCAGAGCCAUGGCCCAGACCCCACACAACAACCUGCUCCUACCUGCCAACAUCCCCAUGCCCGCCAUGGCCACCCAGUGUCACCACAAUCACCAUGGGGACUUUGCAUUAGGAUCCUGCCCACCCUACACCACCAUUUGGCAGUAGCAAGGGUCUCCAGGGCACACUCCCAUCCUUCGACGAGUGAAACAAAAGGGUUAAAACCAAUUAGUUCACCAGAGAAGUCUCCACCUCACAGCUCACCAGGCCGCACAUUUUGGCGCCAUUUUGGGCCGCGCUCCUCCCGCCCGCACUGCCCACAAACACAGGCCAGACACCGGCGUUAGCAAAAAUGUUUAAUCUCUCCUUGAUGCGUGUGUUUAUUUACAAGUACUAAAUCUGAAGAACAUUAAAAUAGGAAAUAGCAGGAUAUUUACACGAUCAAAGGGUGUGCGGCCAGCCACGCCGGCCUGUUGCUUCAAGUCUGAAACAAUCAUCACAGAAAGUUAAUCAAGGACUCCGGAUUCUCAUUUUUCUUUUUUCCUCCCCGUUUAAUUUUUUAAAACUAUUAAAACUCUCUGCCUUUCACCAGCUUUGCAUUAGUUCCCACCCCUGCUUUCUUAAAGGACAGCUCAUUGUGCGCUUUGGGGCAGGGUGAGCCUGGGGGUCACCCCCUGCUCCCCACCCUGAUGCACAGGAUGGGGACGAGGGGCCUGGGGACACUUCCAGGCCAGGCUGUGUUUUUGGGAACCUCCCACUGAAAAGGCAAUGUGAGCAGCAGGGGCAGGCAGGGGCCUGCCGGCAGCUGGUGGGGUUUGGCCUCCUCCAUGCUCCAUCCCCAAAACGCAAGAUGGGGGCACGUGUAGUGUCACUGAUAUGGGACAUCCUGUGAUGCCUCCUAGCCUCUCCCCCAGGCAGGGGUAACAGGCUGCCUGCAGGAUUAAGGACACUGGGCAUCAGGCGAAAGGCAAAGGUAGCACCAAGGAGCAGCAGGGGCUGCAGGCUGCACUGCAACACGUCCCCCAGCUGCAACCAUCUGCCAUGGAGGCACCCGGGACCAGCAGCGAGGGGACCCCAGAAGGGGUCCUUGGGUGGAGCCCAAAAGCUCCAAAAGCCCCAAAGCCCCCUCAGGAGGAAGACAUCAGCCCAUCCCCAGAACCGCACUGCGGACUCUCCUCAUUGCAUGGGAUGGGGGACACAGGACGGGGUGAGAAGAGCCUGGCAGUGGAGGCAGAGGAAGCCAAGAGGAGCCCUGAGAGCCCAGCAACGUUGUGACACUACUACCCUGCCUAGCACAGCCCUCCAGAGACCUCCCUGUGGACUACCCCAGGGCCAUGAGAGCCAUCCAACAUGGCUACCCAGCAUAGCCAAGGAUGUGCUGCAGCACUACAGCAGCCCGGUGAGCCUCUGCUCUCACCAGUGCUUCCAGAAAAUUUGAGAAGGCUCAGACAAAAACCUCCAUCCUCUCCAACCAGCAACAGAGAGAGUCCCACCAUCUCCAAACCAUCACCAAAAUACCCCGUGCUCAGCUCCACCAACAGCCACCAAAGAUUCCUCAGACACUCUUACCGCUGCAGUGGGACCUCAGGAUCGCAGGGGCUGCACAGGGGUGCCAGAACCUCAGGCUGACCUCACACCACACCUGCACCAAACCCAACUGUGGCACUGCUGGAGCUCCCACCAUGCUGGCCCCAUGAGCUGUGCCAUUUGGGGACCCCCACGAGGGUUCUGUCCCAGUGAGGCUCCUGGCACACAGCUGUCCUUUAAGGCUCUCCGAGUACCAUACUGGAAAUGUCAACCACUGAAGUCUUUUCUUUUUCUUUCUUUCUUUCUUCUGGACAAGAAAGUGACAAAUUAAUUUCAAAUUAAAAAUAAAAUAAAAUAGAUAAAAGGUCUAAACAAACCUCUAGGAUUCAACACUUGCAGUUUUUUUAUGCUUUUUUUUUUUUUCCUGUUUCUUAAAAAGAUCAACUCAGACUAAAAUCUAGCACAGUCAUGCAACAGCCCACAGCUCUCAGAUAUCAGCCUGGGGUUCCCAGGUUUGGGAAACGAUUAUUACUUAUUUUUUAGAAUACUUCUGUUGUGGUGGUUGGGUUUUUUGUUCUCAUUUUCUUUUUUUUUUUUUUUCAAUCAGCAUCUUCUCCUUCCC
ensembl:lncRNA